rnacentral:rRNA from 1 species
UACAGAGGGGGCAAGCGUUGUCCGGAAUCAUUGGGCGUAAAGCGCGCGUAGGUGGCCAUGUAAGUCCGCUGUGAAAGUCGAAGGCUCAACCUUCGAAAGCCGGUGGAUACUGCAUGGCUAGAGUACGGAAGAGGCGAGUGGAAUUCCUGGUGUAGCGGUGGAAUGCGCAGAUAUCAGGAGGAACACCAAUAGCGAAGGCAGCUCGCUGGGACGUUACUGACACUGAGGCGCGAAAGCGUGGGGAGCGAACAGG